GACGAACGCUGGCGGCGUGCCUAAUACAUGCAAGUCGAGCGGACAGAAGGGAGCUUGCUCCCGGAAGUUAGCGGCGGACGGGUGAGUAACACGUGGGCAACCUACCCUGUAGAUCGGGAUAACAUCGAGAAAUCGGUGCUAAUACCGGAUAAUCAUUUGAAGUGCAUGCUUCGAAUGUAAAAGAUGGCUCCGGCUAUCACUACGGGAUGGGCCCGCGGCGCAUUAGCUAGGUGGUAAGGUAAUGGCUCACCAAGGCAACGAUGCGUAGCAGACCUGAGAGGGUGCUCGGCCACACUGGGACUGAGACACGGCCCAGACUCCUUCGGGAGGCAGCAGUAGGGAAUCUUCCGCAAUGGACGAAAGUCUGACGGAGCAACGCCGCGUGAGUGAUGAAGGUUUUCGGAUCGUAAAGCUCUGUUGUUAGGGAAGAACAAGUGCCGUUUGAAUAAGGCGGCACCUUGACGGUACCUAACCAGAAAGCCACGGCUAACUACGUGCCAGCAGCCGCCGUAAGAC
rnacentral:rRNA from 1 species